CAAGCAGAAGGAGGAAGCUGGGAAGCGCCUUAAACGGGCGGAAGAUGAGGGCCUUGAUCGCGGGAUCUGGAUGAGGGGUUGCGGGAGAUCAAAUCACAGAUCCGUUGCGGGCUUUUGGAUCCUCCCGGAUGAUGAAAUUAGACCCUUAGUGGAUCCAUCUUGUGCUGCCUCCGGAUGGCUGCCAUGUGUCCCUCGGGUGCAAGUGUGCU
rnacentral:lncRNA from 1 species